AGAGUUUGAUCCUGGCUCAGGAUGAACGCUGGCGGCGUGCUUAACACAUGCAAGUCGAACGAGCUAUUCUCUUCGGGGGAUAGCGGGUGGCGGACGGGUGAGUAACGCGUGGGUAACCUGCCCCAUACAGGGGGAUAACAGCUGGAAACGGCUGAUAAUACCGCAUAAGCGCACAGUAUCGCAUGGUACGGUGUGAAAAGCUGAGGCGGUAUGGGAUGGGCCCGCGUCUGAUUAGCCAGUUGGCGGGGUAAGAGCCCACCAAAGCGACGAUCAGUAGCCGACUUGAGAGAGUGACCGGCCACAUUGGGACUGAGACACGGCCCAAACUCCUACGGGAGGCAGCAGUGGGGAAUAUUGCACAAUGGGGGAAACCCUGAUGCAGCGACGCCGCGUGAGUGAGGAAGUAUUUCGGUAUGUAAAGCUCUAUCAGCAGGGAAGAAAAUGACGGUACCUGACUAAGAAGCCCCGGCUAAAUACGUGCCAGCAGCCGCGGUAAUACGUAUGGGGCAAGCGUUAUCCGGAUUUACUGGGUGUAAAGGGAGCGCAGGCGGCAGGGCAAGUCAGAAGUGAAAACCCGGGGCUCAACCCCGCGGAUUGCUUUUGAAACUGCCAGGCUGGAGUGCAGGAGGGGCAAGCGGAAUUCCUGGUGUAGCGGUGAAAUGCGUAGAUAUCAGGAGGAACACCGGUGGCGAAGGCGGCUUGCUGGACUGUAACUGACGCUGAGGCUCGAAGGCGUGGGGAGCAAACAGGAUUAGAUACCCUGGUAGUCCACGCAGUAAACGAUGAAUACCAGGUGUCGG
rnacentral:rRNA from 1 species